AUGGCGAAGAGCAGGAAGAAGGGGGAGCUGAGGAGGGAGGCGGAUCAAGAGGGAGAGGAGGGUGGAGUGGGAGUGCAUCUGCGAGGGGGAAAGAUCUGGGGGACGAUGACGAGGCCGAGGGGUCGUUGGCGGCCUUAUCCUCCUCCCGCGGCACUGUCGAUGAGGGGGUUCGGCGGCGACCGCGCCCCUGUAGUGAUGCGGUCGCGGGAACAUGGGAGACAACCGGGGAGGGAGAGUUGGGUUGGCUAG
rnacentral:rRNA from 1 species